UCAUAUUUUGCAAUUUGAAUUUAUGUCUCUGUGCUCUGAUUGGCUGAUUGACGGAAGUGGGGAUGCAUUCCCGCAUUUCUCUUCAUGCAAUUUACCAACAACACCACUCCAUUACUAUUUUACUUACUAGUGGUGAACAAGGUAUUUUUUUGUGAGUGCUACGUUCUUGAGGUUAAUUUACCAAUCGUGGUGUAUAUUUCCUUUUAGUUAGCUGGGGCGCAGCCCCAGCCUCCUGCCACGAACUGUACGGCACCCUAGCUCCAUAAAAAACACUAUUCCACGUGUCGAGUUCCACGUUUUCGAGUUUAAUUGGUCGUGGGAUUAGAAGCACAAACACAACGAAAAGGCAAACGUCAUACUGGGAGAAAGUUGCAAUAAGAGACGACACACGUCGCCAGAGUUCCCGUGUGCAAGAAAAAGACCACACUAAUAACGCACCGCUGAGAUAAGUGCCAGAGUUGUGAAAUGUCACUUGUCAUUUCAGGAUGAUUCUAAAGGCCCGUCUACGGGACACAUGACCCACAUUAUUAUAACUACACCUAACGUAUAAAAUAAACAAAGAACAUGGAGCCACACUUCAAAUUGUUUCCAAAAUGCUUCUACAAAAAUUACUAUUUGCUUUAUCAAUUAGUUUCAAGUUUUGAGGAAAUUGUUGGAAUAAAGUACACAACUUGUGAACUCCUCUUUAGGAGCAUUGUUUUGAAACGUUUGACGUUUAACCUAACCUCACUUUUCUCUCAAUUGAAAUUAGUUAUUUAUUAAUCAAAGGCGUGAUAAAUCAGGGAAUAUAUUAUACGAGACUCUUGUAAUAUGCAACAAAUUAAUAAAUAUAUAAAUAAGAUUGCUCAAACA